rnacentral:rRNA from 1 species
AAGCCAGACUCCUACGGGAGGCAGCAGUGGGGGAUAUUGCACAAUGGGGGGAACCCUGAUGCAGCGACGCCGCGUGGGUGAAGGAGUAUUUCGGUAUGUAAAGCCCUAUCGGCAGGGAAGAAAUUGGACGGUACCUGACUAAGAAGCCCCGGCUAACUACGUGCCAGCAGCCGCGGUAAUACGUAGGGGGCAAGCGUUAUCCGGAUUCACUGGGUGUAAAGGGAGCGUAGACGGCCAGGCAAGCCUGGAGUGAAAGCCCGGGGCCCAACCCCGGGACUGCUCUGGGAACUGUCCGGCUGGAGUGCGGGAGGGGCAGGCGGAAUUCCUGGUGUAGCGGUGAAAUGCGUAGAUAUCAGGAGGAACACCGGCGGCGAAGGCGGCCUGCUGGACCGCGACUGACGUUGAGGCUCGAAAGCGUGGGGAGCGAACAGGAUUAGAUACCCCGGUAC